GUUAGAUAGAUAACAUUUUGUUGGGGAGAGACUUUGGUUAGGGACUGGAAUUCAUGUACUCUGAUAGGCAAGGUCUCUCCCUCCCUCCCUCCCUCCCUCCCUCCCUCCCUCUUUUCCUUCCUCUCUCCCUUCUCCUCCUCCUCCUUUUCUUCUUCUUCUUCUUCUUCUUCUUCUUCUUCUUCUUCUUCUUCUUCUUCUUCUUCUUCUUCUUCUUCUUCUUCUUCUUCUUCUUCUUCUUCUUCUUCUUCUUCUUCUUCUUCUUCUUCUUCUUCUUCUUCUUCUUCUUCUUCUUCUUCUUCUUCUCCUCUCUGUCUGUUUGUCUUAUCUAAAGCAUGUCAUAUCUCCCCCAGCACCAAGCACACUGCUCUACUUAUAGAAAGGUUUAAUGAACAUCUGCUAUCCUUAAUAACUCUGAGAUUCUCUGGAUUCUUAAAAAAUCCAGUUUAUAAUGAAGUCAUCACUACUGGAUUAGUUCCUUCCCUGUUUCCUUCCUAUCUUUAUUCCCCCUCCUACCUCUCCCACAUCCUUUAUCCUUUCCUCCCUUUUCUCCUUUCCUCCUCUGUAUCACCUUCCCACAUCCUUUUUAUCCCCCUUAUUUUCUUCCUUCCUCCCUUUCUUCCCGAUCCCAUCAUUUCCACAUCCUUUAUCCUCUCCCUUCCACUCCUUUCCUAUUGUCUCUCUCCCUCUCUCCCUCUCACUGCCCCUAGAGUGCUCAUGGGCAGUAUGUCAGGCAGGAGGUUAAGGUUUGGAUGCUCCAAGGAGAGGGCAUUAAAGGAGGCGUGAGGGGGAGUUGAGGACAGAAAAGCACAAGUUUGGAAUGGGAGCUGACAAGCUGUUAAGGGGUGUUCAGGAUGCUUAAAGGUCUGCAAACUGAAAUGUACUCAGAUCCAACCGAAGAAGCUGGGCUAUUUAGCCCAAAGAAGAGAAGUCUUAUGUGGAAGUGGGGAUUGGACAUGAGGAUAUUCUGUAGCUAUCUGCAGGGCAGUCACAUGAAGAGUAGACUUCAUGGGGAGGGGAUAGGACUAGACUUGGGAUUUCAUGGUCCUGAGAACCUCCAAUGAGGAAAAUUUCCUCUACCAC
rnacentral:lncRNA from 1 species